rnacentral:lncRNA from 10 species
CCCUCUUUCUAGCUUGUAGUUCUCAAGAAUAACUGAAGAACAUGCUGGGGAUGAAAUAUCCUGAGAUAAGGAGGAGCUGGCUGGAACAGCUGGGGAUCUUUUCUUGACUUACCAGUUCCACCUGAGGAGAAGCUCGAACUUGGUGGGGCUUCAAUGAGCCCCUGCUGUUACCUCAGCUUCGGUUUCCAGCAACUCCUUUGGAAAGCCACAUAUACGUAAUAUAUGUGGCUCAAUAUUAGCUCCAUUGUAAACCAAAAGGUAACAGAGACAGGUCUCAAUCCAGUUUAAAGAUUUAUUUUGCCAGGUUUAAGGACAUGCCCAGAAGAAAAAAAAAAAAACAUGGAAUCACAAAAAUGGUCUGUGUCUUUCUCCAAAGAUGAUUUUGGAAGGCUUUGAUAUUUAACCAGAAAAAUUUGGCUGGAGUUUAAAAAAAAAGGAGGGUAUGGUAAUCCACAUGUUACAAGGCAAAAGAAGCAGGUAGGGGACUAGUCAAUUAUGUAUUCAUCUCUUGCUCAGUAGAUUGGCAUUGAGGGGUGGAGUUGGUGGGACUUCCUGGGCUGGUUCGGGGACUUUCACAAAAGACCCCUGUGACUCAGGGUUUUGAGUUCUUAACCAAUGGAGUGAAGGAUUCAAAAUUAACCACUCCAAGGGAGGACUGAAAAAAGAACCACUCUCAAUGGACAAAAAGAAAGAAAGGAGAGGGGUUAACACAGGGAUAUAAGCCCUAGCCACCCAAGCCAGCAACGGCAAUCCUUCCAGGUCCCC